AAAGUCAGAACCAAAGGGCAGACAUUCCUAUCCCAACUAACACAAAUUGAGCGUAGGCUGCAUAAAAAGGGCUCAAGCGUGCAAGUUUCUUUUGUUCUCCUCGUAAUGUGAUUGUAGUCAAUUCAGUCGUGCUGUCAAAUUCCUUUUGUUUGUUCCGUAAUGUGAGUGCGGCUUGGAGUAAUUACUAUGCUUAUGAUUUUCUGUGCGAACCACAAAAAAAUGGUUACAUGCCAGGGCAUUGGUCAAAACAAACGUUUGUUUUUAUAACCUAUGUAACGAAUAUUUUUUUCCUGUGCAUACUGCCCCAAUUAUUACUUCCACAAUUUUUGGCAAAAUUCUUGUGCAAUAUGCCAUGUUGGUGUGAUUUUUAAGUGUGAUCAUAAAGUUCAAUGAUUCGUUGUGGAGGUAGAGUGUUUCUUCUCGAUAACCAGCAAAUGAAAAGAGUUGUGCACGUGUAUGUGUGUGGCGGCUGCUUCGAUGUCUUCCCGAGGAACCGUAUUUCGAUGCUGAUACUCUCUUGGUCACCUUCUCUUCUGCUUCUGAUCGAUCGGCUUUUCUGCGCUCCCUCACAGUUAAAACAAACUGAUUGCAUUUCAGGUCAGGUCAGGCCAGGCAAUGGUGAUUUUCACUUACAUAGAGUACUAAUUUGAUUAAGGAAAAAUCAUGUUCAUUCAUAAUUUUCAUUUUAAAAGUGUAUUCAUUCCUUCUGCAAAUCCAUACUGUCAUGCCUAUUCCCCAAUAUCGCCAACGCGGAUAGUUCGUUAGGCGAAAAUACUGAAUAAUUGAACAAACCAAAUGGCAUCACUGGAGGUUCUUUUUUCCACUCCGCUAAACUGUCAUCUCAAACAAAAACAAAUGGAUCAUACAACUGCUAUGAAUACAUUCGACUCGUUUGCUUCCAUCAAUCGGUAAGUGAGAAAGAUGAUUUCUCCCAUCACCACAGUGCGGAUUUCCACUUCUAUCACAGCAGCCAACAACAUCCGUUUUCCUGCAGCAGUAACCUCCAACCCCUGUUGGCAAUGCCGGGGGACAGCAUUAACAGCAGCAGCAGCAGAAUUUGACCAUGGUAUGGUAUUGCGAAGAACUUUCCCCAUUAGAGGUUCCGUGCUUCGCGCACAUUCAAAAAUCCUCUUCAGACACGAAAACUAAACGACAAGGAGGUAUUUAUCAACUUGCUCAGCUGAAUUACCACCCGGAGGAACCCGAAUGCACUGAUUCCGUUGUAGAGUAGAAUGAAAAUAGGCGAGUUAAGCGAACGUAAUCGCAUGAUAUUUUAAUGUUCGCAUUUUUAUCCGGAUCAUACAACUGCUAUGAAUACAUCCGACUCAAUCAAUCGGCGAAUGAGAAAGAUGAUUUCCCUCAUCACCACAUUGCUUAUUUCCACUUCUGUCACACCAGCCAACAGCAUCAGCUUUCCCGCAGCAGUAUCCUUUAAGUCCAGGGUGCUAUUCCGGGGAACAGCAUCAACAGCAACAGCAGCAGGACCUGGCCAUCGAUAGUAUUUCGAGCAAUUUUCCCCAUCGGAGAUCCCGUGCUUCACGCACAUUGAAGAAUCCUCCUCAGCCACAUAUCUGUGUCAUCAAGGGCAAGGAGGUAUUCAUCAAUGUACUCAGUCGGAUUUGAAUCGUCAAUCCAGACAACCCGGAUGCACCGAUUCCAUUAUAUACCUUAUUUUUAUUAUACAUGGAUUUUUAUUAUUUAUUUUCAAUAAAAUGAUUUAAAUCGA